UAAAAGAUAAGCUAAUAAAAGCUAAUGGGCUCAUACCCCGUAAAUGAGAAUUUAUCUCUCUUUUAA
rnacentral:tRNA from 1 species